rnacentral:rRNA from 1 species
UACGUAUGGUGCAAGCGUUAUCCGGAUUUACUGGGUGUAAAGGGAGCGUAGGCGGCGCGUUAAGUCUGAUGUGAAAACCCGAGGCUCAACCACGGGAGUGCAUUGGAAACUGGCGUGCUGGAGUGCCGGAGAGGUAGGCGGAAUUCCUAGUGUAGCGGUGAAAUGCGUAGAUAUUAGGAGGAACACCAGUGGCGAAGGCGGCUUACUGGACGGCAACUGACGCUGAGGCUCGAAAGCGUGGGGAGCAAACAGG